rnacentral:rRNA from 1 species
GAAUGAACAGGGAUAAGCUCAAAAUGGAAAUUGUUGCUUCGGCUUUGAAUUGUAAUGUCAAGAUAUAUUGCUAACGGGGGCUCAAAUUUAAGCCGCUUGGAAAAGCGAACAUUUGAGGGUGAGAGUCCUGUUUUCCAUUUGUAGACCUCCGUGCACGGCAUGUUUUCUAUGAGUCACGUUCCUCGGGAUUGGAGCGCAAAUUCGUUGGUAAAUUUCAACUCAAGCUAAAUAUUGGUUCGAAACCGAUAGUAUAUAAGUACCAUGAGGGAAAGAUGAAAAGGACUUUGAAAAGAGAGUUAAAAGUGCUUGCACUUGCUGAAAUGAAAGCGGAUGAAAUUAGUUUUGCAUCGUGAGAUUGUCUUAUGCUAUGGGGAUGACUUGCUGCAUCAAUGUUUAUAAUGCUGUGGGAUCUGAUCUGGAUGCAUGCGAUGCUUCUUGCCUUGUAUGUCACCGUCUGUUCGUGGGUGAGAAUAACAUUUGGAGCAUGGUAGCUCGGCUCCGGCUGCU